UAGGUACACAGCCUAGGUACACAGCCUAGCGACACAGCCUAGGCAAACAGCCUAGGCACACAGCCUAGGCACACAGCCUAGGUACACAGCCUAGGAACACAGCCUAGGGACACAGCCUAGGUACACAGCCUAGGUACACAGCCUAGGAACACAGCCUAGGUACACAGCCUAGGUACACAGCCUAGGAACACAGCCUAGGGACACAGCCUAGGGACACAGCCUAGGAACACAGCCUAGGUACACAGCCUAGGAACACAGCCUAGGAACACAGCCUAGGGACACAGCCUACUCUAGCUACGCUCUGGGGUCCUCUGGCUACAACUACCCUAGGGGAGGCUACCUGACCCGACCCAGCCAAGGUGCGGGUCUGGACUCUGGCUUCCUCGGAACUCGCCCUCACAAGGACGUAGAGCCGGGAGUCCCACAGACUCCAAAUAUACAACACAGCGUCCCGGCCCUUACAAGGACAAGCGGGACGAGGGGGGGGGGGGGUCCAGGGUCCUAAGCCGGCUGGCUGGCGGGCCUUGGGUCUUGAGCUGCGACUGGCCCCGAUCGGCCAGGGAGCUGCCCUUUUAUGCCUCGUCCCCAACGAGGGGUGGGGGGCUGUGUGCGCCCCCAGAUAUCUCACAGAGCACACACAGCCCCCCUGUUGGUGGCGCCAAGGGGCUUAGUUGUCUGGGGUGCCUGGGAUCCUAGCGCCUGGCGCCAAGGGGCUUAAGUGUCUGGGGUGCCUGGGAUCCUAGCGCCUGGCGCCAAGGGGCUUAAGUGUCUGGCGUGCCUGGGAUCCUAGCGCCUGGAGCCAAGGGGCUUAAGUGUCUGGGGUGCCUGGGAUCCUAGCGCCUGGCGCCAAGGGGCUUAAGUGUCUGGGGUGACUGGGAUCCUAGCGCCUGGCGCCAAGGGGCUUAAGUGUCUGGGGUGACUGGGAUCCUAGCGCCUGGAGCCAAGGGGCUUAAGUGUCUGGGGUGACUGGGAUCCCAGCGCCUGGCGCCAAGGGGCUUAAGUGUCUGGGGUGCCUGGGAUCCUAGCGCCUGGCGCCAAGGGGCUUAAGUGUCUGGGGUGACUGGGAUCCUAGCGCCUGGCGCCAAGGGGCUUAAGUGUCUGGGGUGACUGGGAUCCUAGCGCCUGGAGCCAAGGGGCUUAAGUGUCUGGGGUGACUGGGAUCCCAGCGCCUGGCGCCAAGGGGCUUAAGUGUCUGGGGUGCCUGGGAUCCUAGCGCCUGGAGCCAAGGGGCUUAAGUGUCUGGGGUGCCUGGGAUCCCAGCGCCUGGUGCCAAGGGGCUUAAGUGUCUGGGGUGACUGGGAUCCUAGCGCCUGGAGCCAAGGGGCUUAAGUGUCUGGGGUGACUGGGAUCCCAGCGCCUGGCGCCAAGGGGCUUAAGUGUCUGGGGUGCCUGGGAUCCUAGCGCCUGGAGCCAAGGGGCUUAAGUGUCUGGGGUGCCUGGGAUCCCAGCGCCUGGUGCCAAGGGGCUUAAGUGUCUGGGGUGCCUGGGAUCCUAGUGCCUGGCGCCAAGGGGCUUAAGUGUCUGGGGUGCCUGGGAUCCUAGCACCUGGAGCCAAGGGGCUUAAGUGUCUGGGGUGACUGGGAUCCUAGUGUCUGGUGCCAAGGGGCUUAAGUGUCUGGGGUGCCUGGGAUCCUAGCGCCUGGCACCAAGGGGCUUAAGUGUCUGGGGUGCCUGGGAUCCUAGUGUCUGGUGCCAAGGGGCUUAAGUGUCUGGGAUCCUAGCGCCUGGCGCCAAGGGGCUUAAGUGUCUGGGGUGCCUGGGAUCCUAGCGCCUGGCGCCAAGGGGCUUAAGUGUCUGGGGUGCCUGGGAUCCUAGUGUCUGGUGCCAAGGGGCUUAAGUGUCUGGGGUGCCUGGGAUCCUAGUGUCUGGCGCCAAGGGGCUUAAGUGUCUGGGGUGCCUGGGAUCCUAGUGUCUGGCGCCAAGGGGCUUAAGUGUCUGGGGUGCCUGGGAUCCUAGCGCCUGGCGCCAAGGGGCUUAAGUGUCUGGGGUGACUGGGAUCCUAGCGCCUGGCGCCAAGGGGCUUAAGUGUCUGGGGUGACUGGGAUCCUAGCGCCUGGCGCCAAGGGGCUUAAGUGUCUGGGGUGACUGGGAUCCAAGCGUCAGCUCGCAAUGUCGCAACGGUCAGCUGAAGGCUCGCAACGGUCAGCUGAAGGCUCGCAACGGUCAGCUGAAGGCUCGCAACGGUCAGCUGAAGGCUCGCAACGGUCAGCUGAAGGCUCGCAACGGUCAGCUGAAGGCUCGCAACGGUCAGCUGAAGGCUCGCAACGAUCCGCUGAAGGCUCGCAACGGUCAGCUGAAGGCUCGCAACGGUCAGCUGAAGGCUUGCAACGAUCAGCUGAAGGCUCGCAACGGUCAGCUGAAGGCUCGCAACGAUCCGCUGAAGGCUUGCAACGAUCAGCUGAAGGCUCGCAACGGUCAGCUGAAGGCUCGCAACGAUCCGCUGAAGGCUCGCAACGAUCAGCUGAAGGCUCGCAACGGUCAGCUGAAGGCUCGCAACGGUCCGCUGAAGGCUCGCAACGAUCAGCUGAAGGCUCGCAACGGUCAGCUGAAGGCUCGCAACGGUCAGCUGAAGGCUCGCAACGGUCAGCUGAAGGCUCGCCGUUGAGUGGACGCGGCGCGGUUGACGGGACUUUUUUUUAUUUCUGUUUCCAUCGUCAGGGAUGGGUGGGCCCCAAUAUCUGCGAGCCGUCGAUUUCACGUUGCCAAUCUUCGGUUCCAUUUUCGCGGACAAUUGAGAUGCCCGCGAAGGUUUGCUUUGAAGAGUGGUCGCCCCCGUCUUACGUGCCGCUGGACGGGAGGUAAUUGCCAGGGGGGGGGCUGGUGACAUCGCCGCUAAUCGUCAGCAGCUGCCGCUGACAACUAAAGACGAUUUAUUAUUUCGUCAGAAGCGAGUUGGACAUCACAAGCGAUAGCCCAACGAACUGGGAAAUCUAUCGCAGGAGCACAAAUUCUAAAUGUGGAGUGAAGAAACGGAGGACCUGGAGAAAAACAAUCCACGCUACCACGGAGGAGAGGGAGAGACGCAGACUCCAAGUAUACAGCAGCAGGCGUCGUCAGGGUUGGGAUCGAAGCCACGACCUGCUGUACACCAGGCGAGGUAGUCAACAUCUCCUAGCCACCUUAGCAUCAGGGUUGGGAUCGAAGCCACGACCUCCUGCAUACCAGGCGAGGUAGUCAACAUCUAGCCACCUUAGCAUCAGGGUUGGGAUCGAACCCACGACCUCCUGUGUACCAGGCGAGGUAGUCAACAUCUCCUAGCCACUGUGGUGUAUGGGUCGGGAUUGAACCCACGACCUCCUGCGUACCAGGCGAGGUAGUUACCACGUGGUCACCAUGGCGCCCAAAGCUUUGCCUUGGCUUGUAAGGUUUGUUUUUUUUACCGCCAUCAGAAGACAAGCUGUGGGGGGCUAAUGAUUUUUUUUUCAUUGGGCCUCAAGUAUUGAUGAUUCCAACAACAAAAAUAAUGGAUUCCUCUUGCCAGCUAGAAUUUCGAGUAAAUUUUUUACUUUUCCGUCGUUUGCCGAUGGUACAGCGGAGCGCAAACGAUACAAACCAAAAAUUAUGGGACGCCGAUGUCGCAAUAAUCAUCGUAUCGUGAACUUUGGAAUCGCAUCGAAUCGUGAAAAAUCGUAUUGCAGUAACCCUAAUAUGCACUCGCGUGUCUCGCCAUGUAACUUCGCUAUGACGUCAUCGAUACCGCCGUGACGCCUCCGACAACGCCAUGACGUCAUCGAUACCGCCGUGACGCCUCCGACAACGCUAUGACGUCAUCGAUACCGCCGUGACGCCUCCGAUAACGCUAUGACGUCAUCGAUACCGCCGUGACGCCUCCGACAACGCUAUGACGUCAUCGAUUCCGCCGUGACGCCUCCAACAACGCUAUGACGUCAUCGAUUCCGCCGUGACGCCUCCGACAACGCUAUGACGUCAUCGAUUCCGCCGUGACGCCUCCGAUAACGCUAUGACGUCAUCGAUUCCGCCGUGACGCCUCCGACAACGCUAUGACGUCAUCGAUACCGCCGUGACGCCUCCGACAGCGCUAUGACGUCAUCGAUACCGCCGUGACGCCUCCCACAACGUUAUGACGUCAUCGAUACCGCCGUGACGCCUCCGACAACGCUAUGACGUCAUCGAUACCGCUGUGACGCAUCUAAUAACGCUAUGACGUCAUUGAUACCGCCGUGACGUCUCCGACAACGCUAUGACGUCAUCGAUACCGCCGUGACGCAUCUAAUAACGCUGUGACGUCAUCGAUACCGCCGUGACAUCGAUGCCGCGGUGCGGGAUGACGUCACGGGUUACCUGCGUCCAUCAAGUUGAGAAUCGGAAUGUUUUACUUCUGCUGGAGGAAUCCGAUGAGUUCCAAAAUUAUUUUCGUUGCGCGGCGUUUACUAUUCAGCGUGAUAUUUCGAUUUAAAGCUUCUUUCGUGACUGCAGAUAUUUAUCUUCUUGGUUCUUUCGGUAAAGUCACGUAGAAUGGAAAUAAUAAAAUA